UACAGAGACUGCAAGCGUUAUUCGGAUUCACUGGGCGUAAAGGGUGCGCAGGCGGCCAAGUGUGUCAGGUGUGAAAUCCCGGGGCUAACUCCGGAACUGCGCCUGAAACUACUUGGCUAGAGCAUUGGAGAGGGAAGUGGAAUUCACGGUGUAGCAGUGAAAUGCGUAGAUAUCGUGAGGAACACCAGAGGCGAAGGCGACUUCCUGGACAAUUGCUGACGCUCAGGCACGAAAGCGUGGGGAGCCAAAGGG
rnacentral:rRNA from 1 species